rnacentral:rRNA from 1 species
CGUGUAGGCGGUCUUUUAAGUCUGAUGUGAAAGCCCCGGGCUCAACCUGGGAAGUGCAUUGGAAACUGGGAGACUUGAGUACGGGAGAGGAGAGUGGAAUUCCUAGUGUAGGAGUGAAAUCCGUAGAUAUUAGGAGGAACACCGGUGGCGAAGGCGGCUCUCUGGACCGAUACUGACGCUGAGACGCGAAAGCGUGGGUAGCAAACA